rnacentral:rRNA from 1 species
AGUGAACGCUGGCGGUAGGCCUAACACAUGCAAGUCGAACGGCAGCACAGUAAGAGCUUGCUCUUACGGGUGGCGAGUGGCGGACGGGUGAGGAAUACAUCGAAAUCUACUUUUUCGUGGGGGAUAACGUAGGGAAACUUACGCUAAUACCGCAUGCGACCUACGGGUGAAAGCAGGGGAUCUUCGGACCUUGCGCGAUUGAAUGAGCCGAUGUCGGAUUAGCUAGUUGGCGGGGUAAAGGCCCACCAAGGCGACGAUCCGUAGCUGGUCUGAGAGGAUGAUCAGCCACACUGGAACUGAGACACGGUCCAGACUCCUACGGGAGGCAGCAGUGGGGAAUAUUGGACAAUGGGCGCAAGCCUGAUCCAGCCAUACCGCGUGGGUGAAGAAGGCCUUCGGGUUGUAAAGCCCUUUUGUUGGGAAAGAAAAGCAGCAGGUUAAUACCCCGCUGUUCUGACGGUACCCAAAGAAUAAGCACCGGCUAACUUCGUG